UGAAAUUCAUUAUCCAACUGCAGAUCACAAGUUUCAGGUUGGCAAGAGAUCCUAAGCUUCAUUAUCCAAUCAAUCAAAACGACAAACAGAAACCAAACCUCCACCCUAUGAUUCAUCUGUGCAGAAAUACUACACUCCUGCAUCUGCUGCAAGCAAAGGAGCACAAACACACACCAAAAGUGCGAUCAGCUGCUACAAUAAGAAUCCACCAGGACCUCUAAUCCACCUCAUAUUAGCUGAUGAUGCGUGAUGAGAACCAGAAGACCACACCAGCGAUAGCCAUUUAAAUCUGACCUGCUCAAAUCCCCUUCAACAUACAACACCAAAGGGAUCUCCACAUUCCAGAUCCAAUCCUGCAACCAAUGUGUGGAGGAACACAACUAAACCAAACAAACCGUUGAUAGAACACUGACCUGACUCACUGUACAGAGAUUUGCCCAUAAGCACAAACUUCCUAAAUAUGGCCUGCAGUCGACAGGAUAAGAGUACAGAUAACGAAUUGAAACGCAUAGAGAUAGAUUGCAAACCAAACGAUUUUAACAGAUUUCGACUCACUACCAGCACUCUCUGGGCUAAAAUAAAUCUGCAAUCACAGGGGCAGAAGCAAAAAAGCCUAAAUCAAAGGCAUGAAGAAGUAGCUACGUGAUAUAAAAAAAGAGGAGGCAAGAGUUAAAAAUGGAGGAGUCUCUUUUUUGUUUGUAGGAUUUGCCAAGUUUGAAGCUCCAUUCGUGCACCUUUGAGAUAAAUCUGAAUUCAAAAUAUUGCCUAGUGAGAAGAUCUUAAAGGUUAUCUAAGUAAUGAUGAAUUGAUUAGAAAAAACUGCAAACAGAUUCAACUCAGCAUCAGGUUGGACUUUGCAUUCGUCAAACCUGCAACGAGCACGAUACGCCUCUGUAAAUUAUUGGAAAACUAGAAUCAACUAAAGUAUGCUUCAAACGAGGAGGUAAAAGUUGUAAGGAAGUUUGGGCUGAGAAGGUCAGGUAGACAGCACCGAUUCCAAUUAUAUCCCUUCCAAGAUGGUUUCUGCAAGAGCUGAGAAUGACAAACUAAGGCAGAGAAACUUGUCUGGUGUGUUCUAAUUAUAUUAUUGAUGAGUAAGAAAAUGUUGAGCCACAGAAGAACCGCCGUGCCGAGGGAAAACUGGGCCACCCGCUAAGCCGUGUGAUUCCAACAUCUGAAGUACCAGCAACAAAUCCAAAAUCCGAAUCAGAAUUGUGCCAACACUAACUGAACUGUGGAGAAAGGAAAUAAACAGAGAGUAAUGAUUAUCCAAACACAGGGCAUGAAAGAUGACAAGUCGCUCCCGCUAAGCCGUAUAAUCCCAAUUUCUGGACAAUCAUCAACAGAUCUAAAUCAGAACCGACUAAAACUGAGCCGUGUAGAUGAAGGAAUUAAACAGAGGGGGUAAUAUAAUAAUCAUCCAAACACAGGUCAAGAUAGGCCGCUCCACCCUAUGCCUUGUAAUCCAAUAUCUGGAGAAGCACCAACAGAUUGAAAUCAGAAUUGCCGUUGACUACUGGGGGAAAACAAGAAACUAAACUGGGAGGGAUUUAAUUAUUAUCCAAACUCAGAUCACCGGCUCCAG
rnacentral:lncRNA from 1 species